CCGAUGACGCUGCGGCGUGCCUAAACAUGCAAGUCGAACGGGUAGGUACUUUAAUGAAUCUUCGGAGGAUUUAAAGUACCGAAAGUGGCGGACGGGUGAGUAACGCGUGAGGAACCUGCCCUGUGCAGGGGGAUAGCCUCGGGAAACCGGGAUUAAUACCCCAUAAAACUCUAGCACCGCAUGGUGCAUGAGUCAAAGCAUUAGCGGCACAGGAUGGUCUCGCGUCCCAUUAGCUAGUUGGUGAGGUAACGGCUCACCAAGGCGACGAUGGGUAGCCGGCCUGAGAGGGUGACCGGCCACACUGGAACUGAGACACGGUCCAGACUCCUACGGGAGGCAGCAGUGGGGAAUAUUGCACAAUGGGCGAAAGCCUGAUGCAGCGACGCCGCGUGAGCGAUGAAGGCCUUCGGGUCGUAAAGCUCUGUCCUAAGGGAAGAAGUUUGACGGUACCUUAGGAGGAAGCCCCGGCUAACUACGUGCCAGCAGCCGCGGUAAUACGUAGGGGGCGAGCGUUAUCCGGAAUUACUGGGCGUAAAGGGUGCGUAGGCGGCCCUGCAAGUCAGGAGUUAAAGGCUUCGGCUCAACCGAGGUAAGCUCUUGAAACUGUAGGGCUUGAGUGCAGGAGAGGAGAGCGGAAUUCCUAGUGUAGCGGUGAAAUGCGUAGAUAUUAGGAGGAACACCAGUGGCGAAGGCGGCUCUCUGGACUGUAACUGACGCUGAGGCACGAAAGCGUGGGGAGCAAACAGGAUUAGAUACCCUGGUAGUCCACGCCGUAAACGAUGAGUGCUAGGUGUUGGGGAUCUCCAUCCUCAGUGCCGAAGUUAACACAUUAAGCACUCCGCCUGGGG
rnacentral:rRNA from 1 species